rnacentral:rRNA from 1 species
AUGAACGCUAGCUACAGGCUUAACACAUGCAAGUCGAGGGGCAGCAUUUUAGUUUGCUUGCAAACUAAAGAUGGCGACCGGCGCACGGGUGAGUAACACGUAUCCAACCUGCCGAUAACUCGGGGAUAGCCUUUCGAAAGAAAGAUUAAUAUCCGAUAGUAUAUUAAAACCGCAUGGUUUUACUAUUAAAGAAUUUCGGUUAUCGAUGGGGAUGCGUUCCAUUAGUUUGUUGGCGGGGUAACGGCCCACCAAGACUACGAUGGAUAGGGGUUCUGAGAGGAAGGUCCCCCACAUUGGAACUGAGACACGGUCCAAACUCCUACGGGAGGCAGCAGUGAGGAAUAUUGGUCAAUGGACGAGAGUCUGAACCAGCCAAGUAGCGUGAAGGAUGACUGCCCUAUGGGUUGUAAACUUCUUUUAUAUGGGAAUAAAGUAUUCCACGUGUGGAAUUUUGUAUGUACCAUAUGAAUAAGGAUCGGCUAACUCCGUGCCAGCAGCCGCGGUAAUACGGAGGAUCCGAGCGUUAUCCGGAUUUAUUGGGUUUAAAGGGAGCGUAGGUGGAUUGUUAAGUCAGUUGUGAAAGUUUGCGGCUCAACCGUAAAAUUGCAGUUGAAACUGGCAGUCUUGAGUACAGUAGAGGUGGGCGGAAUUCGUGGUGUAGCGGUGAAAUGCUUAGAUAUCACGAAGAACUCCGAUUGCGAAGGCAGCUCACUAGACUGCAACUGACACUGAUGCUCGAAAGUGUGGGUAUCAAACAGGAUUAGAUACCCUGGUAGUCCACACAGUAAACGAUGAAUACUCGCUGUUUGCGAUAUACAGUAAGCGGCCAAGCGAAAGCAUUAAGUAUUCCACCUGGGGAGUACGCCGGCAACGGUGAAACUCAAAGGAAUUGACGGGGACCCGCACAAGCGGUGGAGCAUGUGGUUUAAUUCGAAGCAACGCGAAGAACCUUACCUGCUCUUGACAUCCCGGUGACGGCAGAGUAAUGUCUGCUUUUCUUCGGAACACCGGUGACAGGUGGUGCAUGGUUGUCGUCAGCUCGUGUCGUGAGAUGUUCGGUUAAGUCCGAUAACGAGCGCAACCCUCGUCAUUAGUUACUAACAGUUCGGCUGAGGACUCUAAUGAUACUGCCGGUGGUAAACCGGAGGAAGGCGGGGAUGACGUCAAAUCAUCAUGCCCCUUAUGAUUUGGGCUACACACGUGCUACAAUGGCGUAAACAAAGGGAAGCAAGAGGGUGACCUGGAGCAAAUCCCAAAAAUAACGUCCCAGUUCGGACUGUAGUCUGCAACUCGACUACACGAAGCUGGAAUCGCUAGUAAUCGCGAAUCAGCAUGUCGCGGUGAAUACGUUCCCGGGCCUUGUACACACCGCCCGUCAAGCCAUGAAAGCCGGGGGUACCUGAAGUACGUAACCGCAAGGAGCGUCCUAGGGUAAAACUGGUAAUUGGGGCU